AUAUGUUAUUAUAUAUACCACAUAUAUGUAUAUAUAUAUAUAUAUAUAUAUAUAUAUAAUAUAUGCAAUCCCUGAAUCAAAAUCAGUGCAUGACCAAUGAUGCAUCUUUCAAAGUGCAUAUUACCAAUUUGGUAAUAAAAGGCAGAUGGCUAGCUGGAUGGAUCCUCCAAACUUUCAAUACCAGAGAAAAGGAGACAAGGACAGUCCUUUAGAGGGCAUAGGUCCUCAGACACUUGGUCUACUGCUCCCAACUGUGGUCACCACACUAUAAAAUUUUACAGCUACACAAAGAAAAUCAUCUCAAUGCAACGUACUAGCUAUUGGGAAAGACUGAAAGAAUUAAAACUCAUCUCCCUAGAACAAAAGUGGGAAAGAUAUGCAGUGAUAUACAUCUGGAAAAUCCUGGAAGGCCUUGUACCAAACUUUGGUAUUGAAAGUUACACAAACAGCAGAACAGAGUACCACUGCAUAGAGCUGAAUAGUGUAUUUAUGUAUAUAUAUUGAUGUAGACAGCAUUCUUUCAGCCCAUACUGAAGCAUUAGAACAUCUGAAACUAACAUGUCUAUAUGUUUUGGAUGCUGUUUCUAGAAAAUUAAACAUCACCAUGAAGGCUUUUUUACUAGUUUGUCCUUGUUCAGCAUCAGAUCAGCCCUGAUUAAGUAUAUCUAUGAUUAACUACAAGCUAGCCAUAAAUUUUUUUAUUCCUUUUUUAUAUUUUGCAUUGGGACAAUUUUUUAAGGUGUCCUUUCUGGUUUUUAAAAAAGUGUAAGAACUGAUUUGAGAGAAAAUUGGUUGCUACUCUAGAUUAAGUGCUGUGUAGAGGCUCUUUCAGUGGAUCACAAAAAUGAGGUUUAUCUGACACCCAAGCAUCUUCUUGUGGCUUAGUCAUAAGUCAAUCAAAUACUAUUCUGUGAGACUGGAUUUUAAUGACACCAGUACAGAAUUUGCAGGCAGCAACAUUCUAAAUCUUCCUAAAUGAGGGUGCACUACAUGGAUCAAAAGGGAAUUUUUACACAUUCAUUCUACCUGAUAAAAAACAGCAGAAAAUCACUUUCAGAUCAUUUCAUGCUGUCUUUGAAGGAAAGCAUGAAUUAUAUGAUAUAAUUCGAAGUUACACCCACCAUUUGAAAAUUACUCGAUUAAAAUUCCACACACACACACAACCCACCCUAAAAUUUGCCUCAUUAAGAUUUGGAUGGUGAUGUCUUGAAUUAUUUUUAUCAUAGAUCUACUUGAGUGGGACUGAAACUAAACAACAAUAGCAACUUAAUGUGUAUAGGACAAUCCUCUUUUCAAGGAUUAUUGACAAGAAUGGGACCAAGAAACCCCAUUUUUAGGAAGAAAAUGAAAUCGUUUGUAUUAAGUUGCUGCUUUUCCUCUGCACAGGUGGUCAAUCUUUCUGACACUGAAACACUUUGGAGAUCAAAUUGUAACUGAUGAGAAAAGUUUAAAAUAAAUUAUUUGCACUGUCAACCUACCCACCCCAUACAGACAUACAGACAACUACCCAGUAUACCCUUGCUUUAAGAUGGCACUGCAUCUAGCCCAUCCACCCAGGGCCUCCAAAACAAAUUUAGCAAAGGUGAACAUGACUAAUUUAGAAAAAUUAGCCUGCUAGAAAUAGCUGUGAUUUUCCCACUCAAACUAUACUUUACAAUCUUUAAAAAAAUGUAUGUAAGGUAUCACAUAUAAUGUAAAUUAGGUAAUGUAACUUAUGUUCAUCCAGGAUCUCUGAAAGAAAUUUGGCAAAGCAUAGCAAGACUAAUCCAGUAGGGUAACACAUUAGGUAAUGGCCAAUGAGCUUACUAGAACUAUGCAAUUUAAAAAAUAAAAAUUGGCAAUGUAUGACAUUAUGUAAUGUAAAUUGGGUAAUAUAAUUCAUGGAAAAUGUUAAACUGUUUUAAUAUUUGAAAUUUGAUAGAAAAAAUAAACAUACAAAACUGUUGUUCCCUCUCUAAGAAUUAAAGUAGAAAUAAUCUAAGGCCAACUCAACAGACUCAAUCUUUAUUUUCAUCAUCCUGGUUUAUUUCAUGUAUUGGGUUAUUCCAUAAUGUGGUCUUUUACAACUGCAUGAAUUAAAAGUCAGAGGGGGAUGGGAUAAACAGCCUGCAUCAACUUGCUAUAAAAGCAGUAAGUAAUUUUACCUAGUCUUGUUCUUUGUGAAGGUUUUGAAUAGUGCAAUUCGAUUUUAACAGAUAUUUUCUCAAAGUUAUAAUGGAAGUGACAAAGGAGCAUGUUUGGCAUAUUUUGGUUUAUGAGCUCAAUAAAGGCAACAACGCAACAGAAAGUGCAAGAAAUUUUAAUGCAGUAUAUGGGAUCAGACAAUAAGCAUAAACUAGUGUCAAUGGUGGUUCCAGAAAUUCCGAGCCUGAAACUACAGCCUAGAAGAUGAACCUUGUCCUGGAAGAUCUGUAGAGCUCCACAAGGACGUCCUGCAAACCCUGGUGGAAUAAAAUCCUAUUGUAACUAUUAAAGAACUAGCAGAGAAACUUGGAUUUGGUCAUUCAACCAUUCAUCGACACCUGCAUGUCAUCGAAAAAGUCAGUAAAUUGAGUCAAUGGGUUCCCCAGAAUCUUUCCAAGUUUAAUAGUGCAGAGAAAGUGAAUGUGUGCUCUUCUUUGCUGCCACAGCUCACAAAUGAACCUUUUUUGGACUGAAUAGUGACUUGUGAGAGAAGUGAGAGAAAUGAGUUCUCCAUAAAAAUGUAAAGUACCAAAGAAAGUGGGUAAGGAAAGGAGAAACACUGACACCCCAGGCUAAAGAAGAUCUUCACCCACGUAAUGUGCUGUUAU
rnacentral:lncRNA from 1 species